rnacentral:misc_RNA from 1 species
GGAGGGAUCAUUAACACUAGCAUUCGACACUUGGUGGCCGACGGUGCGGCGCCGCAAGGCGCUGUCCCGGCGGUCAUCCAACCCCAAUCGUUGAAGUUUCUAACCGCAUCCACCCCAGCGGUGGCGGCGCGUUAGUACCUCCAACCCCUUUUUCACGUCAAACGAAAGUUCUAUUCGACGACCCGCCUCCCCUUGCGGGCGGCGAGUCCCGAAAACAUACAAACCAAAUCACAACUUUUAACAACGGAUAUCUUGGCUCUCGCAACGAUGACUAGCGCAGCGAAAUGCGAUACGUAAUGUGAAUUGCAGGAUUCAGUGAAUCAUCAAAAUCUUGAACGCAACUUGCACUGGUGCUCUAGCAUCAGUAUGCCUGUUUGAGUGUCGUUUCUAAACCCUCCACCCACCCCUUGGGGUGGGUGCGGUGAUGGGCGUCUCUCGGCACCGAGAGUCGCCUGAAAUUCAGGUUGCGAACGUGACGUCUCGCUCGCUUCGCGGGUGGAGCCAUGCUCGUCUGGAGUAAAUGAAAUCUUUGGAUUCGUGAACUCGAGAUCCAGCCAUGCUGCUCCGAUGAACUCUCGAAGAGGGUGAGAGGUGUGGUUCGCCUCCGGGGGUCCCUCGGCUUAGGCCGCGCGGACCGCCGCUACCCCAUAAGGGUAGUGAAACGACUUGCAGGGGUCGCCUCUGGUGGCCCCGUGCAACCUCUUUCGACCUCAAAUCAGGCAAGACCACCCGCUGAACUUAAGCAUAUCAAUAGGCGGAGGAGAAGAAACUAACCAGGAUUCCCCUAGUAAGGGCGACUGAAGCGGGAAGAGCUCAGGCUUAAAAUCCUUGGGGUUAGACCUCAACGAAUUGUAGUUUUGUGAACGAGCAUCACGGACGGGUCGCCGCGGUCAAAGUCUCCUGGAAAGGAGCGCCAGGGAGGGUGACAGCCCCGUGUGGGGCCGCGGUGCAAGAAACGGAUCCGUCGCUACGUGUUGCCGUUUCGAAGAGUCGGGCUGCUUGGGAGUGCAACCCUAAAUGGGUGAUAUAUGUCAUCUAAAGCUAAAUACGGGCGAGAGACCGAUAGCGAACAAGUACCGUGAGGGAAAGAUGCAAAGAACUUUGAAAAGAGAGUUAAAAGUGCUUGAAAUUGUUAAAAGGGAAGCGAUUGGAACCAGUCACUGCCCUGCGUCCAUUCAGGGUCCCGGGCGGCGGGCGACGUGCGACGGGAGGUCCCCUUCGGGGGGUCCCCGGCGUGCGGCGCGUGUCGUGCGGGGUCUGCACUUGGGCGCGUGGGCGUGUCAGGGUGGAUUGCGGCGACCGGUUGAAGAGCGGUGGGAAGGUGGCGGGGCGUGUUUCGGCACGUUCCGCGUUAUAGCCCAUCGACAGGAUGCCGACUCUGCGAUCGAGGCGCAUUGGAUGCGUUGGGGAGCCCCUCUGGGGUGGCCAACGGUGCCGCCGCUUUUGGCGUCGUGCCGGGACAGCUAAGCUGUGCCGGUGUGGCGCUGGAGGCGCCCGGUGCCGCGAGCACACGCUCCCCCGAGGACGCCUGACGAAAUGGUUUCAACCGACCCGUCUUGAAACACGGACCAAGGAGUCUAACAUGUGUGCGAGCGCUUGGUGGCGAAAACCCGGGACGCGGAAUGAAAGUGAAAGGUGGGAUCCCGCCCGAAUGGGGUGGGUGCACCAUCGACCGAUCGAUCCAUUCAUGGAUAGGUUUGGGUGGGAGCACACCUGUUGGGACCCGAAAGGUAGCGAACUAUGCUUGCAUAGGGUGAAGCCAGACGAAAGUCUGGUGGAGGCUCGUAGACAUACUAACGUGCAAAUUGUUGUUCAAAUGUGAGUAUAGCGGCGAAAGACUAAUCGAGCUGCCUAGUAGCUGGUUUCCUC